rnacentral:lncRNA from 10 species
CUGAGUCUCACCUGCCUGGAGCAGGUAGAAAUGUUGGGGAAAGUGUGGCUGCCUGGGAGUCAAGGUCGCUUUGAAGGAUCCACUGAGUCAGUGUACAGAUGAGGAAACUGAGCUCAAGAGCAGGAAGGGAAAUGCCCAGAAGCCAGUGAGGAAAACAGGCAGAGUGCGAUCUGGAUUCAGCAACAGGAAAUGUGAUUUCCCCACCUAUUUGGGAGGCUGAGGCAGGAGGACUGCUUGAGCCCAGGAGUUUGAGGCCAGCCUGGGCAACGUAGAAAGACCUUCCCCACUCCCUCGCAAAAAACAAAAACAAAAAAAAAGAAUAUGAUUCCGAACACCACAGCAAGUGCAUCUCUCUGAAGUCCCCUGCUGACAGUGAAGCCCUGCUUCUCUUCACUGGCUGAUGUGCAGACAUUUAUUAGUAAAUCUUCACGGCGGUCUAGGGAGUGACAGCAUCCUCUGGAAUAUUUCAACUACAAAAGGCCUUUGACUGAGCGCUGUUCAUCGAGUCCAGCCCCGGCUUUGCAAAUAAACAGCUGACACCAAGAGAGGAGAAGCAACACGGCUGAGGCCACAGGGUGACAAAGCCUUAACAGGACACAGCAAGAAGGGGAGAAGGCAGUCAUCUGGAAACGAGGAAGACAGCCCUCACCAGAAACUGACACUGUUGGACCUCGAUCUUGGACUUGCAGCCUCUAGAAUUGCAAGAAAAUA